rnacentral:rRNA from 1 species
AAUGAACGCUGGCGGCAGGCCUAAAACAUGCAAGUCGAACGCCCUAGCAAUGGGGAGUGGCGCACGGGUGAGUAACACGUGGGAAUAUGCCUUUUGGUACGGAACAACGUCUGGAAACGGACGCUAAUGCCGUAUGGUCCCUUCGGGGUAAAGAUUUAUCGCCAAAAGAUUAGCCCGCGUCUGAUUAGCUAGUUGGUGAGGUAAUGGCUCACCAAGGCGACGAUCAGUAGCUGGUCUGAGAGGACGAUCAGCCACACUGGGACUGAGACACGGCCAAGACUCCUACGGGAGGCAGCAGUUAGGAAUAUUGGACAAUGGACGCAAGUCUGAUCCAGCCAUGCCGCGUGAGUGAUGAAGGCCUUCGGGUUGUAAAGCUCUUUAGUCCACGAUUAUAAUGACUGUAGUGGAAGAAUAAGCCCCGGCUAACUUCGUGCCAGCCGCCGCCGUAAAAC